UGGGGAAUAUUGCACAAUGGAGGGAACUCUGAUGCAGCGACGCCGCGUGAACGAAGAAGGCUUUCGAGUCGUAAAGUUCUUUUAUAGGGGAAGAUAAUGACGGUACCAUAAGAAAAAGCCCCGGCUAACUACGUGCCAGCAGCCGCGGUAAUACGUAGGGGGCUAGCGUUGUCCGGAAUCACUGGGCGUAAAGGGUUCGCAGGCGGAAAUGCAAGUCAGGUGUAAAAGGCAGUAGCUUAACUACUGUAAGCAUUUGAAACUGCAUAUCUUGAGAAGAGUAGAGGUAAGUGGAAUUUUUAGUGUAGCGGUGAAAUGCGUAGAUAUUAAAAAGAAUACCGGUGGCGAAGGCGACUUACUGGGCUCAUUCUGACGCUGAGGAACGAAAGCGUGGGUAGCAAACAGG
rnacentral:rRNA from 3 species